rnacentral:rRNA from 1 species
GGGGGACGUGAACGGCGUCGAGCGGCGGACGGGUGAGUAAUGCCUGGGAAAAUUGCCCCUGAUGUAGGGGGGACAACCACUUGGAAAACGAUGGCUAAUACCGCAUAAUAGCUUCGGCUCAAAGAGGGGGACCUUCGGGCCUCUCGCGUCAGGAUAUGCCCAGGUGGGAUUAGCUAGUUGGUGAGGUAAGGGCUCACCAAGGCAACGAUCCCUAGCUGGUCUGAGAGGAUGAUCAGCCACACUGGAACUGAGACACGGUCCAGACUCCUACGGGAGGCAGCAGUGGGGAAUAUUGCACAAUGGGCGCAAGCCUGAUGCAGCCAUGCCGCGUGUAUGAAGAAGGCCUUCGGGUUGUAAAGUACUUUCAGCAGUGAGGAAGGUUCAUGCGUUAAUAGCGUAUGGAUUUGACGUUAGCUGCAGAAGAAGCACCGGCUAACUCCGUG